UACGAAGGGGGCUAGCGUUGCUCGGAAUCACUGGGCGUAAAGCGCACGUAGGCGGGUCGUUAAGUCAGGGGUGAAAUCCUGGAGCUCAACUCCAGAACUGCCCUUGAUACUGGCGAUCUCGAGUUCGGGAGAGGUGAGUGGAACUGCGAGUGUAGAGGUGAAAUUCGUAGAUAUUCGCAAGAACACCGGUGGCGAAGGCGGCUCUCUGGACCGAGACUGACGCUGAGGCGCGAAAGCGUGGGGAGCAAACAGG
rnacentral:rRNA from 1 species